rnacentral:rRNA from 1 species
AUUGAACGCUGGCGGCAGGCUUAACACAUGCAAGUCGAGCGGAGAUGAGGUGCUUGCACCUUAUCUUAGCGGCGGACGGGUGAGUAAUACUUAGGAAUCUGCCUAUUAGUGGGGGACAACAUCUCGAAAGGAAUGCUAAUACCGCAUACGCCCUACGGGGGAAAGCAGGGGAUCUUCGGACCUUGCGCUAAUAGAUGAGCCUAAGUCGGAUUAGCUAGUUGGUGAGGUAAUGGCUCACCAAGGCGACGAUCUGUAACGGGUCUGAGAGGAUGAUCAGUCACACUGGAACUGAGACACGGCCCAGACUCCUACGGGAGGCAGCAGUGGGGAAUAUUGGACAAUGGGGGGAACCCUGAUCCAGCCAUGCCGCGUGUGUGAAGAAGGCCUUAUGGUUGUAAAGCACUUUAAGCGAGGAGGAGGCUCCCUAGACUAAUACUCUAGGAGAGUGGACGUUACUCGCAGAAUAAGCACCGGCUAACUCUGUGCCAGCAGCCGCGGUAAUACAGAGGGUGCGAGCGUUAAUCGGAUUUACUGGGCGUAAAGCGUGCGUAGGCGGCUUUUUAAGUCGGAUGUGAAAUCCCCGAGCUUAACUUGGGAAUUGCAUUCGAUACUGGGAAGCUAGAGUAUGGGAGAGGAUGGUAGAAUUCCAGGUGUAGCGGUGAAAUGCGUAGAGAUCUGGAGGAAUACCGAUGGCGAAGGCAGCCAUCUGGCCUAAUACCGACGCUGAGGUACGAAAGCAUGGGGAGCAA